UGGGGAAUAUUGCACAAUGGGCGCAAGCCUGAUGCAGCCAUGCCGCGUGUGUGAAGAAGGCCUUCGGGUUGUAAAGCACUUUCAGCGGGGAGGAAGGCGUUAAGGUUAAUAACCUUUGCUCAUUGACGUUACCCGCAGAAGAAGCACCGGCUAACUCCGUGCCAGCAGCCGCGGUAAUACGGAGGGUGCAAGCGUUAAUCGGAAUUACUGGGCGUAAAGCGCACGCAGGCGGUUUGUUAAGUCAGAUGUGAAAUCCCCGGGCUCAACCUGGGAACUGCAUCUGAUACUGGCAAGCUUGAGUCUCGUAGAGGGGGGUAGAAUUCCAGGUGUAGCGGUGAAAUGCGUAGAGAUCUGGAGGAAUACCGGUGGCGAAGGCGGCCUCCUGGACGAAGACUGACGCUCAGGUGCGAAAGCGUGGGGAGCAAACAGG
rnacentral:rRNA from 1 species